rnacentral:rRNA from 1 species
AUAGCGUAUAUUAAAGUUGUUGCAGUUAAAAAGCUCGUAGUCGAAGUUCUGGCUGGCUCUGUUUCCGGCUCCGGUCGACUCAGAACCUAGUCAUCCGUCGGAGAACCCUUGUCGUCCUUCACUGGUCGCUUGGGGGAACUGACCCUUUACUUUGAAAAAAUUAGAGUGUUUCAGGCAGGCUCUCGCCCGAAUACUCCAGCAUGGAAUAAUGGAAUAGGACUUUCUUCUAUUUUGUUGGUUAUUAGUGGAAAGUAAUGAUUAAUAGGGACAGUUGGGGGCAUUCGUACUUAAUUGUCAGAGGUGAAAUUCUUGGAUUUAUUAAAGACGAACUAAUG